CAUGGAGGGUGAGAAUCCCGUCCGGCCAACUUUUUGACGCUUUACGAUACACUUUCAAAGAGUCGAGUUGUUUGGGAUUGCAGCUCAAAAUGGGAGGUAAAUUUCUCCUAAGGCUAAAUAUUGGCGAGAGACCGAUAGCGAACAAGUACCGUGAGGGAAAGAUGAAAAGAACUUUGAAAAGAGAGUAAAAUAGUACGUGAAAUUGUUGAAAGGGAAACGAUUGAAGUCAGUCGUACCGACGAUAAAUCAGCUCCUCGAGUGCGGACUUGUGGGCGUGCGUGAGCUUUAAAACCUCGCUGUUUGCAACGUUUGUACUUUUUGGGUGUACUUUUUCGUAUGGUAGGCCAACGUCAGUUUCGAUUACCAUAAAAUGACCGGAGGAAUGUAGCUUCGAUCUCGUAUUGAAGUGUUAUAGCCCCUGGUAGAUGUGGUGACUGAAACUGAGGAUUGCAACGAAUACCCUUUGGGCUAUCCGUCUGAUCUCUGAAAGUUGCUUAGGUGCCGAAAGCAUGCUUACGGUUAUUUAAGUUGACGGUCAAUAGGUUAGAACGUGAUUACAUUCGUUAAGGAUGUUGACGUAAUGG
rnacentral:rRNA from 1 species